rnacentral:rRNA from 1 species
UGCCAGCAGCCGCGGUAAUACGGAGGGUGCAAGCGUUGUUCGGAAUCACUGGGCGUAAAGGGCGCGUAGGCGGCUUGGGAAGUCCGAUGUGAAAGCCCGGGGCUCAACCCCGGAAGUGCAUUGGAAACUCCCCGGCUUGAGUUCGGGAGAGGAAGGCAGAAUUCCCGGUGUAGGGUUGAAAUCCGUAGAUAUCGGGAGGAAAACCGGUGGCGAAGGCGGCCUUCUGGAACGAAACUGACGCUGAGGCGCGAAAGCGUGGGGAGCAAACAGGAUUAGAGACCCUGGUAGUCCACGCUGUAAACGAUGGAUGCUGGGUGUGGGGUCCAAACCGGGGCUCCGUGCCGAAGCUAACGCAUUAAGCAUCCCGCCUGGGGAGUACGGUCGCAAGACUAAAACUCAAAGGAAUUGACGGGGGCCCGCACAAGC